rnacentral:lncRNA from 1 species
GCUUUUUUUUUUUAUUAGUGUACCUAAUUCACUGCAGUCUUCCCUAUUCUCAUGAUUACUGUACUAACUGAAUUUUAUAAGAAAGGUCUAUUUCAUGUUAUUUUCUGUUUCUUUAAAAUUCUUAUUUUGGUAGGGGCAGAGGAAGAGGGAGAGAGAGAAUCUCAAGUGGGCUCCAUGCCGGGCAUGGAGCCCGACUCUGGGCUUGAUCUCACAACCCUGAGAUCAUGACCUGAGCCGAAAUCAAGAGUCAGACACUUAACAGACUGGGCCACCCAGGCUCCCCAAUAAAAUUCUUCUUUAAUGUGUAACUGUAAUGUGCCUUUUUUACUUACUGUGAUAAUAUAUGGUCAAUUCAGCUACAAUAAUAUUUGUUGAACUUAGUUCUCAGGUCUGACAUUACUUUUUCUGAAAUAGGAUCUAGUGUAAAUAGCAAAAUUUGAGGAAUUUAAAAAUGAUACACGUCUGAUUGUUUUUUAAAAAAAGAUAAAUUAUUACUUCAUAAUUACAAUGGCAGGAAGCAAAUAGUGACAUGAAAAAUGUGGUAACUAAAGUAGAGCAUUAGAAUUCUCAUGAGGGCCACCUAAAUUUAUGACCAACUCACAAAGGGUAUUAAAUGUGCUAUUAAAAUUUGUGAAAUGCCAGAACACUUGAUCUAUGGAAGUUGAGGAAAAAAUUUUCAGUGAAGGAUGCUACUAACCCUUUGUAUUACUACUAAGAGUUGCUUCUUCAGAUUGGUGAUUUAUGUAGUGAAAAACUAAACAACUGCAUCUGGUCGGCCUGUGUUAUGUUUCCAGUUGGGCAAAAGUGGCCGCUCUUUUUUAUCCUCCCAAUAACUAUAACUGUCUAUGAUUGCACCUUGUUUCCUAUACACUAGUGGUCUGUGAUUACCCCAAGCAUGAGAAGAGAUGGUCUAUUCUUAGUAUCAAACAAUCAUAAAAUUAAGUGGACGGCACAUUGGAAUCUCCUGGGUGUUCUUCCCAAUAUCGUGUCUGGUGUAGGACCAGAGAAAGCAUAAAUUCCAAAUAAUGAACCUGAAUUUUGUAUUCUUAUAUUACAGAUUAAUUUUAAAAUAGUCACAGAAUGACUAAAACUAAAUUGAGAACAUCAUAUACAUCAAACAAUAUAAAAUUUGGUUUAUCCUUCUCCAGACAUGUAACUUAUUAUUUAAGUCAUUACUCUUUGUCUUAAAAUUUUGGAUAAUUAUUAAACGAAGGAUCUACACACCUACUUGUCCUUCCUGGAUUUGGGGGUUGGGAAAAAGCAAAAUAUUGAUGAUUUUGCAGGCAGAUGGAAGAUGAUAAAAAAAAAUAAAUAAAAGCACUUUAUCUUUUCACCGAAGGCUAAGAUGGUAUGUUGGUCUUCUGAAAUAUCGUACUGAUAAUAAGACAUAGUAUUAAUAAUAACAAUUAUGUAAAAGCCUCUGGUAAUUGCAAUUCUAUUAGGAUGUUGAAUAUUCUUGGUCACCAUUGUGCCACCUUGUGGUCACAAGAGAACACAUGUUUUUUCCAUGAAGUAAAUCGAUUAAGUUUUUAUUCUCUCCCCACUACUAUGGGAGGAUAUUUGGAAGAAUAAGUUGGGAAGCACAUUGCCAACAAGGACUGUAAAUAAAAUAUAAUGGGCACCACUCAAAUUAGAAACUAGCAUACAGUGAAAAGCAACAAAUGGUAUUGGUGUAGGUAUGGAUUCCAUGUACUAGAUUUUCCCUCUGCUACCUCAAUGUGAAUUACAUAUUUAGAGGAUGAGGGGUGCCUGGGUGGUUCAGUCAGUUAAGCAUCUGCCUUUGGCUCAGGUCAUAAUCCCCAGGGUGCGGGGGAGGGGGGAUUGAGCCCUCUGUGGGGUUCCUUGCUCAGUGGGGAGCCUAGUUCUCCCUCUCUUUCUGUUCCUCCCCAGCUCACUCACUCGCCUGCUCUCUCUCUUUUGGUCUCUCUUACCUGUGCUCUAUCUCUCUCUAAUGAAUAAAUAAAAUCUUUAGAAAAAAGAAGAUGGGGGCACCUGGGUGCCUCAGUGGUUGAGCAGACAUCUGCCUUUCACUCAGGUCGUGAUCCCGGAGUUGCCCUAGGGAUGGAGUCCCCCAUCAGGUUUCCCACAGGGAGCCUGCUUCUCUCUCUGCCUAUGUCUCUGCCUCUCUCUGUGUGUCUCUCAUGAAUAAAUGAGUAAAAUCUUUUUUUUUUUUUUAAAUGAAGUUGAAGUUCAUGUAGGUUGCCAUUCUUGAUUUGCAAACAUAGACAUGGAAGUCUGGAUCAUGACCAUUGAGAAUCUAAUUAUUAAUUCAGCAAUCUAUUUAUAGUAAAAGAAAGCAAUCAAAAUUUAGGUAUCAAUCACCAAUACUAGAUUAGAAUAACUACUUUAAUGCAUAUAUAGGAACAGUUUAAAAAAUACAGUUUUUAUAGUGAGUAUUUGCUUUGUAAAUAUAUUACAACUUCGUAAGUUUUACGCUUUUCAAAGAAUUGUGAUAUUUGUUUAAAUGAUUUUUUUUUUUUUUAAUUUCUAAAUCCCACUAGGUCAGCAUCCAGAUGUGAAGAACAGAGAAAGACAGGAUUGGCCACCAUCCCACAGAGUACUUGUCUACUAGGGACGAAAUAAUAUAUUUUGUACCAAAUUCAGAAAUGUAACGGCCACUGAUUUAUAUUCUCAUUGCUUGUUUGAUCAAGGCUACAGCUUUUAUCAAGGAUGAAACUAUUAGAAAAAAAUGAAGUUCCAAAAAUCUCUCAUUAUAAGUAGUGGGUGUGUAGAGAAUGAGAGAGAGAGAGAGAGAGAGAAAGAGAGAGACAGAGACAGAACCAGUUUAACAAAUUCUCACAGAUGCAUUACUGGGCUAGCACACUGGUCUUCAUUUUCUCUUCAUCUGACUGUUGGUCUCUUAUAUCUCUGUCUUCUUUUUACCUAUCAAUUUCCUAUUUCAAUCUCUGAUUCUCAUUCUCUGUAUGGUAGUCUU